ACUAAGCGCAUACGGUGGAUGCCUUGGCAGUCAGAGGCGAUGAAAGACGUGGAAGCCUGCGAUAAGGCUCGGGGAGCUGGCAAACAAGCUGUGAUCCGGGCAUUUCUGAAUGGGGAAACCCACCGACUUUCGGGUCGGUACCUUACACUGAAUCCAUAGGUGUAAGGGGCGAACCGGGGGAACUGAAACAUCUAAGUACCCGGAGGAAAGGACAUCAACGAGACUCCGUUAGUAGUGGCGAGCGAACGCGGACCAGGCCAGCGCCUGGAGAGAGUUUACCGGAACGGUCUGGAAUGGCCGGCGAGAUGGGUGACAGCCCCGUACGGGACGGACGAUCUUCGGGACACGAGUAGGGCGGGACACGUGAAAUCCUGUCUGAACAUGGGGGGACCACCCUCCAAGCCUAAGUACUCCUCAGCGACCGAUAGCGAACAAGUACCGUGAGGGAAAGAUGAAAAGCACUUUGGAAAGAGAGUUAA
rnacentral:rRNA from 1 species